rnacentral:rRNA from 1 species
GAUGAACGCUAGCGGCAGGCUUAACACAUGCAAGUCGAGGGGUAUAGUUCUUCGGAAUUAGAGACCGGCGCACGGGUGCGUAACGCGUAUGCAAUCUACCUUUCACAGAGGGAUAGCCCAGAGAAAUUUGGAUUAAUACCUCAUAGUAUAGCAGUUUCGCAUGAAACCACUAUUAAAGUCACAACGGUGAAAGAUGAGCAUGCGUCCCAUUAGCUAGUUGGUAAGGUAACGGCUUACCAAGGCAACGAUGGGUAGGGUCCUGAGAGGGAGAUCCCCCCACACUGGUACUGAGACACGGACCAGACUCCUACGGGAGGCAGCAGUGAGGAAUAUUGGACAAUGGGCGCAAGCCUGAUCCAGCCA